GGCUGUGUGUUCUAGUGGAUUAUGAUUUCUCGUUCACAAGCAUGUGUACUUGAUCCCGAGAAGGUCGCAGGUUCGAGCCCUGCCACGGUCA
rfam:Colletotrichum chlorophyti strain NTL11 CCHL11_scaffold101, whole genome shotgun sequence.